rnacentral:rRNA from 1 species
GAUGAACGCUGGCGGCGUGCCUAAUACAUGCAAGUCGAGCGAACGGACGAGAAGCUUGCUUCUCUGAUGUUAGCGGCGGACGGGUGAGUAACACGUGGAUAACCUACCUAUAAGACUGGGAUAACUUCGGGAAACCGGAGCUAAUACCGGAUGAUAUUUUGAACCGCAUGGUUCAAAAGUGAAAGACGGUCUUGCUGUCACUUAUAGAUGGAUCCGCGCUGCAUUAGCUAGUUGGUAAGGUAACGGCUUACCAAGGCAACGAUGCAUAGCCGACCUGAGAGGGUGAUCGGCCACACUGGAACGGAGACACGGUCCAGACUCCUACGGGAGGCAGCAGUAGGGAAUCUUCCGCAAUGGGCGAAAGCCUGACGGAGCAACGCCGCGUGGGUGAUGAAGGUCUUCGGAUCGUAAAACUCUUUUAUUAGGGAAGAACAUAUGUGUAAGUAACUGUGCACAUCUUGACGGUACCUAAUCAGAAAGCCACGGCUAACUACGUG